CUUCUAUCCCUUUUGACUUCGUUUUCUUUCCAUUUAUCCUUCUCAAACUUCUUAUUUUCUUUGAAUCUGGUGGUAUUAGAUUUUACUCGAUCAUGGGUUCUGGGUAUGGUCAGGGUCAUUGAAUUCAAAUCUUAUGGCUCUAGAUUUUCUACAUGGGAAAAUUCGUGGUCGAAGCCCAUGUUUGCUACAGAAGCUUAUGAAACUGAUGAUAAACCAAUCGAAAUUUAUGGUUUUAAAAAUUGAUGAUGCCAUUAGUCCAUCAGACUACUGAGGUAUAAUUUCCAAAUUGUUUCACCUAGAAGAUUACCCUGUUUUGAUUGUGUUUUAUGGUCUCCCAAAACUUUUUUGUUUGCUCGAGAGAAACAUGUUUUACUUAUAUAUUUUUGAACUGUCGAGCCCUCUGUUGGUUGAAGUAGAAUGAUGGACUCGUGUUAUUGGCAAUGAUUAUUUACAUCUUUAGUUAUUGCCUUCAAUCAUCAAUGGAUCAAUUUCCAUAUUCCUCUUAAAAAUGUUUUAUAUUAUUUGUCUAUAACAUUAUUUUUAUGUAGAAUGGUGAUUUGAAUAAUUCAAUUUUUUGGCACUCGUUGUGCAGGGUGUUGGCCUGGAAAACUUGGGUAAUACAUGCUUUAUCAAUGUUUUGUUAUAAUGUUUUACUCACACGGUUCCAUUUGUUUUGGGUCUUCAAUCUUUGAAUCAUCAUGAGAAGUCUUGUGAUUGUGAUAAUGAGGGCUUCUGUUUACUUUGUGCUCUUCGUCAUCAUAUUGAACUUUCAUUGAAUUCAUCAAGAGUUGUAUCGCCUCACAAAAGAUUUUACAAAUUGAACUGUAUUGCAUCAUUUUUCAAAGAUAUCAACAGGAAGAAGCUCACGAGUUCCUGCAAUGCAUGUUACAUAGACUUGAAAGCUGUUGACUAAAGCCCAAGAAUGAUUUGUCCUCUGUUGAUUAUUUCCUCUGGUCGCCUGGUUAGCAGAGUAUAAAUGUUACAACUUGAUCAUGGGUAAUUAUUGUAAUUUG